rnacentral:misc_RNA from 1 species
AAAUAUUCUCAUAAAAACAUUGUUUUUAUGGUUAUGAGUGUUUUACAACGAUAAACAAGUUGUUUCACUUUAAAUUCUUUGUCAUCAAAAAAAUCAUUAAAAGCUAAUUUUAAAGAUUUUUUAAAAUUGGAUAAAAUUUUCCCGUAAAAAGGAAUAACCUAAACAAUUUUAAAAAAUUAAAAUUGGUUUGAUUUUUCUUGAUAAAAAAAAGGAAAAAAGUAAAAAUUA